UGGCCACAUCAUGUUGAAACACAAGUUCCUGUAUGAUCACCAAAGUUAAGCAAUGUUAAGCCUGUUCAGUACAUAGAUUGGUGACCACUUGAGAAUUCCAAGUGCUGUAAG